UACGGAGGGUGCAAGCGUUGUUCGGAAUUACUGGGCGUAAAGGGCUCGUAGGUGGCCAACUAAGUCGGACGUGAAAUCCCUCGGCUUAACCGGGGAACUGCGUCCGAUACUGGUUGGCUUGAAUCCGGGAGAGGGAUGUGGAAUUCCAGGUGUAGCGGUGAAAUGCGUAGAUAUCUGGAGGAACACCGGUGGCGAAGGCGACAUCCUGGACCGGUAUUGACGCUGAGGCGCGAAAAGCCAGGGGGAGCAAACGGG
rnacentral:rRNA from 1 species